rnacentral:misc_RNA from 1 species
AAGUCGUAACAAGGUUUCCGUAGGUGAACCUGCGGAAGGAUCAUUACUGAGAAAAGAGGCCUCCGGGUCUCCCUCACUAAUACCCCGCCUUCCAACAAAGUCCCCCCGGGGCAGCGCACUUCAUGUUUGGAGGGUUGCUGGAAAAUGACCCUCCGAACCCCCUAUAAAAUUCCUGACUUCCGUUUGUAGUCAGUUCUGUAGUAUAUAUUCUAAUAUAUUGAAGAA